rnacentral:rRNA from 1 species
GUGAGGAAUCUUCCACAAUGGGCGAAAGCCUGAUGGAGCAACGCCGCGUGAAGGAUGAAGGUCUUCGGAUUGUAAACUUCUUUUAUGAGUGAAGAAUAUGACGGUAACUCAUGAAUAAGCACCGGCUAACUACGUGCCAGCAGCCGCGGUCAUACGUAGGGUGCAAGCAUUAUCCGGAGUGACUGGGCGUAAAGAGUUGCGUAGGCGGUUAUGUAAGCGAAUAGUGAAACCUGGUGGCUCAACCACACAGACUAUUAUUCGAACUGCAUAACUCGAGAAUGGUAGAGGUAACUGGAAGUUCUUGUGUAGGAGUGAAAUCCGUAGAUAUAAGAAGGAACACCAAUGGCGUAGGCAGGUUACUGGGCCAUUUCUGACGCUAAGGCACGAAAGCGUGGGGAGCGAACCGGAUUAGAUACCCGGGUAGUCC